CAGCACUUAAAGAAGACGUAAAAUUAAAUGGAGUUAAGAAAGGAAGAAAGGAAGAAAGAAAAAGAAAGGAAGGAAGGAAAGAAAGGAAAGAAAGAAAGACAGACAACAACAAGGACUGAAGUCCAUCAUGCUUUGCAAGAUUUCGGUUUCUUGGGUGGGCUGUGGCUUCCAGAAUACUGAAUGAUCAUGGUGAAAAGGGAGUCUCGUUCCUGAUUUUAAUGAGAAGUUGAUUGAUGACUGGCACACAGAGGAGAAAAGUUGAUAACUACCAGUUUGGCUGACUUUUAUGUGCAAGAUACAAUUAAACUUAAAGACAAUCACACACACACAAAACCACCUCAAAAAAACAAAACC